rnacentral:misc_RNA from 1 species
GAUGAAGAACGCAGCGAAAUGCGAUAAGUAAUGUGAAUUGCAGAAUUCAGUGAAUCAUCGAAUCUUUGAACGCAUCUUGCGCUCCUUGGUAUUCUGAGGAGCAUGCCUGUUUGAGUGUCAUUAAAUUCUCAACUACACUGACUUUGAAUUGGUGUGGCUUGGAUUUGGGGGGAAAAUUGUUGUGGGCUUUUUGUAUAGUCUGCUCCCCUGAAAUUGAUUAGCGGUACCUUUGUGGAACUGUCUACAGGUGUGAUAAUUAUCUACAUCUUAGACAUCUGCUGGAAUGCUGGUUUCUAAACCUUACUUGUAUUGACAAUCUUGACCUCAAAUCAGGUAGGACUACCCGCUGAACUUAAGCAUAUCAAUAAGCGGAGGA